GGGUUGUGAGGUUAAGCGACUAAGCGUACACGGUGGAUGCCCUGGCAGUCAGAGGCGAUGAAGGACGUGCUAAUCUGCGAUAAGCGCCGGUAAGGUGAUAUGAACCGUUAUAACCGGCGAUUUCCGAAUGGGGAAACCCAGUGUGACUCGUCACACUAUCAUUAACUGAAUCCAUAGGUUAAUGAGGCGAACCGGGGGAACUGAAACAUCUAAGUACCCCGAGGAAAAGAAAUCAACCGAGAUUCCCCCAGUAGCGGCGAGCGAACGGGGAGGAGCCCAGAGCCUGAAUCAGCAUGUGUGUUAGUGGAAGCGUCUGGAAAGGCGCGCGAUACAGGGUGACAGCCCCGUACACAAAAGCGCAUGUGCUGUGAGCUCGAUGAGUAGGGCGGGACACGUGGUAUCCUGUCUGAAUAUGGGGGGACCAUCCUCCAAGGCUAAAUACUCCUGACUGACCGAUAGUGAACCAGUACCGUGAGGGAAAGGCGAAAAGAACCCCGGCGAGGGGAGUGAAAAAGAACCUGAAACCGUGUACGUACAAGCAGUGGGAGCACAGGUUUACCUGUGUGACUGCGUACCUUUUGUAUAAUGGGUCAGCGACUUAUAUUCUGUAGCAAGGUUAACCGAAUAGGGGAGCCGGAGGGAAACCGAGUCUUAACCGGGCGUUAAGUUGCAGGGUAUAGACCCGAAACCCGGUGAUCUAGCCAUGGGCAGGUUGAAGGUUGGGUAACACUAACUGGAGGACCGAACCGACUAAUGUUGAAAAAUUAGCGGAUGACCUGUGGCUGGGGGUGAAAGGCCAAUCAAACCGGGAGAUAGCUGGUUCUCCCCGAAAGCUAUUUAGGUAGCGCCUCGUGAAUUCAUCUCCGGGGGUAGAGCACUGUUUCGGCUAGGGGGCCAUCCCGGCUUACCAACCCGAUGCAAACUGCGAAUACCGGAGAAUGUUAUCACGGGAGACACACGGCGGGUGCUAACGUCCGUCGUGAAGAGGGAAACAACCCAGACCGCCAGCUAAGGUCCCAAAGUCAUGGUUAAGUGGGAAACGAUGUGGGAAGGCCCAGACAGCCAGGAUGUUGGCUUAGAAGCAGCCAUCAUUUAAAGAAAGCGUAAUAGCUCACUGGUCGAGUCGGCCUGCGCGGAAGAUGUAACGGGGCUAAACCAUGCACCGAAGCUGCGGCAGCGAACGUAUCACUUAAAGCGAUUCAGCGGGUUACGAUUGACGGAGCGAAGCGACGUCAAAGCGUAUACAAAGUCGAGUCGGUUUAAGGAUACGUUCGUUGGGUAGGGGAGCGUUCUGUAAGCCUGUGAAGGUGUGUCGUGAGGCAUGCUGGAGGUAUCAGAAGUGCGAAUGCUGACAUAAGUAACGAUAAAGCGGGUGAAAAGCCCGCUCGCCGGAAGACCAAGGGUUCCUGUCCAACGUUAAUCGGGGCAGGGUGAGUCGACCCCUAAGGCGAGGCCGAAAGGCGUAGUCGAUGGGAAACGGGUUAAUAUUCCCGUACUUGGUGUUACUGCGAAGGGGGGACGGAGAAGGCUAUGUUGGCCGGGCGACGGUUGUCCCGGUUUAAGCGUGUAGGUGUGUGUUCCAGGUAAAUCCGGUUCACUUUAACACUGAGGCGUGAUGACGAGGCACUACGGUGCUGAAGCAACAAAUGCCCUGCUUCCAGGAAAAGCCUCUAAGCAUCAGGUAACAUCAAAUCGUACCCCAAACCGACACAGGUGGUCAGGUAGAGAAUACCAAGGCGCUUGAGAGAACUCGGGUGAAGGAACUAGGCAAAAUGGUGCCGUAACUUCGGGAGAAGGCACGCUGACAUGUAGGUGAAGUGAUUUACUCAUGGAGCUGAAGUCAGUCGAAGAUACCAGCUGGCUGCAACUGUUUAUUAAAAACACAGCACUGUGCAAACACGAAAGUGGACGUAUACGGUGUGACGCCUGCCCGGUGCCGGAAGGUUAAUUGAUGGGGUCAGCGCAAGCGAAGCUCCUGAUCGAAGCCCCGGUAAACGGCGGCCGUAACUAUAACGGUCCUAAGGUAGCGAAAUUCCUUGUCGGGUAAGUUCCGACCUGCACGAAUGGCGUAAUGAUGGCCAGGCUGUCUCCACCCGAGACUCAGUGAAAUUGAACUCGCUGUGAAGAUGCAGUGUACCCGCGGCAAGACGGAAAGACCCCGUGAACCUUUACUAUAGCUUGACACUGAACAUUGAGCCUUGAUGUGUAGGAUAGGUGGGAGGCUUUGAAGCGUGGACGCCAGUCUGCGUGGAGCCGACCUUGAAAUACCACCCUUUAAUGUUUGAUGUUCUAACGUGGACCCGUAAUCCGGGUUGCGGACAGUGUCUGGUGGGUAGUUUGACUGGGGCGGUCUCCUCCUAAAGAGUAACGGAGGAGCACGAAGGUUGGCUAAUCCUGGUCGGACAUCAGGAGGUUAGUGCAAUGGCAUAAGCCAGCUUGACUGCGAGCGUGACGGCGCGAGCAGGUGCGAAAGCAGGUCAUAGUGAUCCGGUGGUUCUGAAUGGAAGGGCCAUCGCUCAACGGAUAAAAGGUACUCCGGGGAUAACAGGCUGAUACCGCCCAAGAGUUCAUAUCGACGGCGGUGUUUGGCACCUCGAUGUCGGCUCAUCACAUCCUGGGGCUGAAGUAGGUCCCAAGGGUAUGGCUGUUCGCCAUUUAAAGUGGUACGCGAGCUGGGUUUAGAACGUCGUGAGACAGUUCGGUCCCUAUCUGCCGUGGGCGCUGGAGAACUGAGGGGGGCUGCUCCUAGUACGAGAGGACCGGAGUGGACGCAUCACUGGUGUUCGGGUUGUCAUGCCAAUGGCACUGCCCGGUAGCUAAAUGCGGAAGAGAUAAGUGCUGAAAGCAUCUAAGCACGAAACUUGCCCCGAGAUGAGUUCUCCCUGAGACUUAGAGUCUCCUGAAGGAACGUUGAAGACGACGACGUUGAUAGGCCGGGUGUGUAAGCGCAGCGAUGCGUUGAGCUAACCGGUACUAAUGAACCGUGAGGCUUAACCUUACAACGCCGAAG
rnacentral:rRNA from 3 species